UACGUAGGGGGGCUAGCGUUGUCCGGAAUCAUUGGGCGUAAAGAGCGUGUAGGCGGCCCGGUAAGUCCGCUGUGAAAGUCGGGGGCUCAACCCUCGAAAGCCGGUGGAUACUGUCGGGGCUAGAGUGCGGAAGAGGCGAGUGGAAUUCCUGGUGUAGCGGUGAAAUGCGCAGAUAUCAGGAGGAACACCGAUUGCGAAGGCAGCUCGCUGGGACGUAACUGACGCUGAGACGCGAAAGCGUGGGGAGCAAACAGG
rnacentral:rRNA from 1 species